AACGAACGCUGGCGGCAUGCCUAACACAUGCAAGUCGAACGAGACCUUCGGGUCUAGUGGCGCACGGGUGCGUAACGCGUGGGAACCUGCCCUUAGGUUCGGAAUAACUCCCCGAAAGGGGUGCUAAUACCGGAUAGUGUCUUCGGACCAAAGAUUUAUCGCCUUUGGAUGGGCCCGCGUUGGAUUAGCUAGUUGGUAGGGUAAAAGCCUACCAAGGCGACGAUCCAUAGCUGGUCUGAGAGGAUGAUCAGCCACACUGGGACUGAGACACGGCCCAGACUCCUACGGGAGGCAGCAGUGGGGAAUAUUGGACAAUGGGCGAAAGCCUGAUCCAGCAAUGCCGCGUGAGUGAUGAAGGCCUUAGGGUUGUAAAGCUCUUUUAACCGGGAUGAUAAUGACAGUACCGGGAGAAUAAGCUCCGGCUAACUCCGUG
rnacentral:rRNA from 1 species